UUUCAAAGUGUUGUGUUCAGGACAUCUUCCCUGUUCUGUUCAUUAAACUUUGGGACUUUGAAACAUGGGCUUGGGAGACAAUUGGGUAGAAAGCAUUGCUCUAUUCACUUACCUCCCAGCCUACAAAA